rnacentral:snoRNA from 1 species
GUACGAGGUCCAGAGUCACCUUUUUGAUUAACAUGUCACUUUGGUGCUAGGAUUGCUCGAAAAUAAAUUUGGUCGUAUUAUGCAAGUAGGGCUUGCUUCUGCGCUCCCCUCCUUCACCUCAUUCCCAAACAAA